GCGAAAGUGGCGGAACUGGUAGACGCGCAGGAUUCAGGUUCCUGUGCCCGUUAAGGGUGUGGGGGUUCGAGUCCCCCCUUUCGCA
rnacentral:tRNA from 1 species